rnacentral:rRNA from 1 species
UACGGAGGGUGCAAGCGUUACUCGGAAUCACUGGGCGUAAAGAGUGCGCAGGCGGGUAGUCAAGUCAGAUGUGAAAUCCUAUAGCUUAACUAUAGAACUGCAUUUGAAACUGAUUAUCUAGAGUGUGGGAGAGGUAGGUGGAAUUCUUGGUGUAGGGGUAAAAUCCGUAGAGAUCAAGAGGAAUACUCAUUGCGAAGGCGACCUACUGGAACAUUACUGACGCUCAUGCACGAAAGCGUGGGGAGCAAACAGG